GUGGUGUUUGGAUCGUCCCUCCCGGCUGGCUCCGUGCCCGUCCACCGAACGGUCGGCAGGAGAUCGYGUCGGUCGCCCGGGGCGGUAUGGUUCCCCCGAGGCCGGUUCUUGUGCUGCUUACCCCUCCAAGGGAAGCCGGCCACUCGAUGUAAGCCUCCAUCCGGCGCCUUCCCACGGGCGCAGGAGGACGACGCAGCACCCCCMGCGUUCCACCGAACCUCCGUCGGUCGUGUGGCGCGCGGGGACGUGCGAUGCUCUCGGACCCAGAGAACGUUGUGGGCGAGGACUCACGUCCCGGUCCCAAGAGAAGCCUCGGUAAAACGCCGACGGCCGCUCCCGCCCCCCGACCGCCCCGGCGGCGCGGGGGCGCGGCGCGGCGUCGCGGAGGAAUGCUACCU
rnacentral:misc_RNA from 1 species